rnacentral:rRNA from 1 species
AGCUCGUAGGCGGUUUGUCGCGUCUGUCGUGAAAGUCCGGGGCUUAACCCCGGAUCUGCGGUGGGUACGGGCAGACUAGAGUGCAGUAGGGGAGACUGGAAUUCCUGGUGUAGCGGUGGAAUGCGCAGAUAUCAGGAGGAACACCGAUGGCGAAGGCAGGUCUCUGGGCUGUAACUGACGCUGAGGAGCGAAAGCAUGGGGAGCGAACAGGAUUAGAUACCCUGGUAGUCCAUGCCGUAAACGUUGGGCACUAGGUGUGGGGACCAUUCCACGGUUUCCGCGCCGCAGCUAACGCAUUAAGUGCCCCGCCUGGGGAGUACGGCCGCAAGGCUAAAACUCAAAGGAAUUGACGGGGGCCCGCACAAGCGGCGGAGCAUGCGGAUUAAUUCGAUGCAACGCGAAGAACCUUACCAAGGCUUGACAUGUUCUCGAUCGCCGUAGAGAUACGGUUUCCCCUUUGGGGCGGGUUCACAGGUGGUGCAUGGUUGUCGUCAGCUCGUGUCGUGAGAUGUUGGGUUAAGUCCCGCAACGAGCGCAACCCUCGUUCCAUGUUGCCAGCACGUAAUGGUGGGGACUCAUGGGAGACUGCCGGGGUCAACUCGGAGGAAGGUGAGGACGACGUCAAAUCAUCAUGCCCCUUAUGUCUUGGGCUUCACGCAUGCUACAAUGGCCGGUACAAUGGGUUGCGAUACUGUGAGGUGGAGCUAAUCCCAAAAAGCCGGUCUCAGUUCGGAUUGGGGUCUGCAACUCGACCCCAUGAAGUCGGAGUCGCUAGUAAUCGCAGAUCAGCAACGCUGCGGUGAAUACGUUCCCGGGCCUUGUACACACCCG